AUGUCAGUAGCCUUCUCCCUCUAAUGGAUAUUGGAGCAUAAGCAAGACUGUAAAUCUGUCUAGAGGGCUAAAUUCCAUCUCAUAUGAACCUCAAUUGUUUCCAUUUCCUGUACACAUGAUGCAGAAUGCAGUGAUUGUAAACCAUCUGCUCCUUGUCAGGACUUUCUGUACUUGGUAUAGACUGUGAUCAACACAGCAGUGAUAAUGGAAUGCAAGUAAUCCUGUGCUGUCAAGAUGCUUGUGAUGAAACUUUUUGGACAUGGAGGAUGCUUGGCCUGAGGGGGAGGAAAUCUAACCUAGCACUCAGAAGAACAAUUCCUGCAUCCCGAUGCUUAGAAAGUUUGUGCUUUUAACUGGUGACAUUAAUGUUCAAAGUGACCCCAAGUGUAGUGCUAAAAGGCUGUCUAGAGUUCCUAGUGACAAGAAAACUGUGUUGUGUGGUGUGGAGAAAAUCCACAAGCAACAAACUUCAUCCAAGCAGUGUUAAUGAAUCAGUGUUGUUACAUUUUUGGAAAAAUGAAGAGGGAAUCCACCAAUCUGCACAUAAAACUGUGCUAAGAGGGGCUCAAGUGACAUCCCUGGUGAGCACUGAAGCCACGGAAAGUGGCUGGAUGUGUGCACUCAGGGAUAAGAAGCCGUGAGGCUGGCAAUCAGAGAAAUUCACAGUCACGUUUGGCGACAUCAGGAAAAUGUUAAUCUCUUCCAGACUAAUAUGUUGUUAUAAAGAAAUGCGGGAUCUAAUUGUUUUAAAGGGAUACAUGUCAAAUACAGUAUCUUUAAAUAAUAAGAACUGAUCCAUUAAGGAAAGUGUGAGGAUGAGGGCUGUCCUGACACAGUAUUUCCCUAAGGAGCCAUGGCUUAGUGUUCACUAAUCUGUGUACAGUGACUUUCUAGAACUGUCUACCAUGAACAACAAGACAUGCCUGACCAUUUAUCCAGUAUUGUACAAUGUUUCUCUACUGUGGUCAUUUGUAUACCAUGCAAUGUUUGGCAAUUUCAUUAUCAAAGCUGGGUGUGAAGGGGUGCUACCAGCAUAUAGUGCAAAGGUCAAGGAUGCAAUUAAGUAAGGGUCUUUAAACAUACAAGGCAGCUUCCAAAUACAAAGACGUAUUCCAUAAAAUAUGUUGAAAGCAGUGAAACUAAAUUCGAGCGACUGUCUCUGUGAAGAGUUGGGGAACUAAGUCUAGAAAGGGCCAGAGACUGACUGUUUUCAUCUUUGUAGGUCACAUGGUCUUCCACAUGGACUCAGCCCCUCCGCUGUAGCUUGAGAGUAGCCACUGACAGCAUCCUGGUUGGUGAAUGGAUGCAGCUGUUUCCCAAGAAGCUCUUUGUAAAAACUGUGAGUGUGUUAGAUUUGGGCCUAGGCUGAGCUGUGGACUCCUGCACAGUUACUCUUGGUUGUGGAUAUGCAUUAGAAAAAAACUAGGAACAUUUGAACAUCGCUUUUGCCUGGACUUCCCAUUCCUUCAAACCCCGACCUGCUUGGUCUGGGAUGGCCCUUCCUGGGCUGGCAACGUUUCAAAGCUCCCAGGAGUUAAACUGCAGAGCCAGCACCAAAAGCACUGCUCUGAAAAAGGCGGUGUUUGUGUGUUAGGAAGUUGACCCAGCACCCUAGACCCUUAUCAGUGGUCAGCAGACCCUCUUGAGCUGGCUUGUGUCCCAGGCACUCUCCUGAAAGUCCCCAGGCCUGUGCCCUUUUAUUAGCACUUACUGCUCCGAACUCUGUAGCUCUUCUUUAAACACCAUGCUGUCAGUAUCCUGAAACCACUCUCCGGGCUCUCCUCAAGGCACCCCCUGUUUUCUGCUGCUUCUCCUGCCUUCUGCGCCCGCCCAUGAUUGUCUUUUGUUUUGUUUUUGUUUUUCAAGACAGGGUUUCUCUGUGUAGUUUUGGUGCCUGUCCUGGAUCUCGCUCUGUAGACCAGGCUGGCCUUGAACUCACAGAGAUCCACCUAUCUCUGCUUCCAGAAUGCUGGGAUUAAAGGCAUGCAUCACCACCGCCCGGCCCAUGAUUAGUUUUAAUGCUCUCCUCUCCACUGUGCCCUGGCUCUUUCUGAAAAUAAGCAAUAGUCAUGUUACUGUCUUGUUAGGACCCCUCUAGUGAUGAUUGUUUUAAAAGGCCACCUAGUGAUUGUAUUCUUUAUGAGAACCGUUGCUGUGGAAAUUAGCAAUAAAAAUUAUUAUUCAUGAAA